GACGAACGCUGGCGGCGUGCUUAACACAUGCAAGUCGAACGGAAAGGCCUUCUUUCCCUUGUGUGUUGCGGUUACUCGAGUGUCGAACGGGUGAGUGUCACGUGAGUUAUCUUCUCCCAACUCUUGUAUAAGCCUGGGAAACUGCCGCUAAUUCCCUAUAGGUCUGCAGUGUGGGUCGGGUGGUUGCAAACGAUGUUCUAGGGGUUGCGGCUGAGCUCGCUGCCUAUCAGCUUGUUGGUUGGGUAAUGGCCGACCAAUGCGGCGACGGGUAGGCGGCCUGGGAUGGUGGGCGGGAACAUUGGGCCUGAGACACGGGCAAGAAUCCUACGGGAGGAAGCAGUGGGGAAGAUUGCACAAUGGGCGGAAGACUGAUGCAGCGACGCCGCGUCAGGAAUGACGGGCUUCGGGUGGUAAACUCCUUUCGACAGAGCGGAAGCCACCUGGUUGGAGGGGUGGUGACGGUAGUGGUAGAAGAAGCACCGGCUAACUACGUG
rnacentral:rRNA from 1 species